rnacentral:rRNA from 1 species
CCGCCGGCGACCGGCGCACGGGUGAGUAACACGUAUGCAACCUGGCCGUGACAGAUGGAUAACCGGGAGAAAUCCCGCCUAAUACAACAUAAUGCCGGGAGGGGGACAUCCCCUGCCGGUCAAAGGGGGCGACCCCGGUCACGGAUGGGCAUGCGGCGCAUUAGGUAGUUGGUGGGGCAACGGGCCCACCAAGCCGACGAUGCGUAGGGGUUCUGAGAGGAAGGUCCCCCACAUUGGAACUGAGACACGGUCCAAACUCCUACGGAAGGCAGCAG